ACCUAACCGAGCGGGGUUGCGCAGGGCGGCGUGGGUCCGACUAGACGACGUCAACGCACGCGCGUGGCACAGCGCAGCGCGGCGCGGCGCCCGCGGUGGACUUUGGGAGCCUUGGUCAUCUCCAUCCAGUGCGUGCGGGACGGUGCGGGGCGGUGCGGGACGCGCGGCGCGAGGACUUUGGCGCCGCGGGAUGGCCUCCCGGGCCGAGGCCGGCCGAGGCGGCCGUCGAGGCGUCCGUCGAGGCGCCAACCGCGACCUUUCGAGGCCAAGAAGACCGUGACGGUGGUGGAUUGCUGUGAUUUCCGUGUGACAUAUUGCUCGGCAAAUGCCAGACCAGUCCGCCCGGACGAGUGCAGUGUCAGUGUGUGCGUGGCUCUCGACGCGGCCCUCGACGGGGCCGGUGUGACUGUGCCGGCUUGCUGACUCGAGUUUGACCUGCUGCUCUGCCUGCCGCCCUGCUUAAGGCCUUACCGGCCGCGGGACAAACCCCAGGAGGGUGACGUUGUGGACCAUUGUGACAAGACAAUCAAAGCAAGGACACGCGAGAGCUACAAGACCAAAGUGAGGGUCCGGGUGGGGCAUGGCGAUGCCGCGGCCGCGUCGCGGAGCGUCGUGCUGUGGGCCGCGACGACGCCCGCCAACCUCGACGCCGACCGCGCCGCCAAUGCCGCCUUC